rnacentral:rRNA from 1 species
UACGGGGGGGGCAAGCGGUGUUCGGAAUUACUGGGCGUAAAGGGCUCGUAGGUGGCCAACUAAGUCAGACGUGAAAUCCCUCGGCUCAACCGAGGAACUGCGUCUGAUACUGGUUGGCUUGAAUUCGGGAGAGGGAUGCGGAAUUCCAGGUGUAGCGGUGAAAUGCGUAGAUAUCUGGAGGAACACCGGUGGCGAAGGCGGCAUCCUGGACCGAGAUUGACGCUGAUGCGCGAAAGCCAGGGGAGCAAACGGG